rnacentral:lncRNA from 1 species
CGGCGAGGGAGGCGGCCGGCGGCCGGCAGCGCCCGCGCGGGAUCGAUGACUCGGCUGGCGGGCACGGUCACCUGGGUGAGGGGCAGCGGAAGGGGCGGCGGAGCACCGAUCUCAUGGAUGGGCUCCGAGGGGCUUGCGGGAGGGGGGCGCCAGUGUUCGGGGCCGUUUUGGCGGCUAUGCAGGAUUGGCAGGAGCUGCGAUGCUCACACUUGCCUCGCCGACCGCCAUUUCACAUCCAGCAGAGGAGGCGGGGGCAGCCGCUGAGACGGUUUUUCACAAGGAAAUGACCUCAUUCUUGAUGGCUGCUGCUAACUUAUGGUGAGAUGCUGGGUCCCUGCCCAAUACCACAUGGACAUCCAAUCAAUUUACCCAGGGACAAGUCCACUCAAGAGCAUCAUUUAGAAGAGGGAAAAGGCACUGGGGUUAUUUGUUUUUGGAGUAUGUGCUUAAGGAAAUCUAGAGUAUUCCCACGAGCAUUCUGCUGAGAUGAACAAUCAGAUGACCUCGUGUGAGAUUUGGAGGAGAGAAGGAAAUGGAGAGCAUGCGUCUGCCGCUUCUGUGGUUUCUGUCGGCUUUCUCCAUAUUUACGUGCUUGUAACUCUGGCAUGACCUUUGCUCCAGUCUCUACCAGAGGGCGGUGCCUGGAUUGAAGUGGAAAAGCCCUGUUUUCCAGCCAUGACCCAGGGAGCAAGCACUGACUCCUCAGGGGAACAGGAGACCUGCCAACUAGGACCCUGGGAGCCCCCAUGCUGGCAGUGCCCUGGGUCAUCUCAGGCUCAUCAGCAAAUCCUGGGGGGAGAGCGGGGCUGGAGGGCGAAGAAGCCCAGGAGAGUUCCUGGCUCAGAACCCCUCUCUGAGGCUCCCAAUACAGAGCCCAGGCCCCACACCCAGGGCCUCUGAGUAUUUUUGUUUAUUGUAUGUAAAAUACUAGUGUAUUUUUGUUUAAGUCUCACAGGUAAACAGGUUCUCUCAUACUUUGCCAAGGGAAAUGUGAUCUGUGCAAUUUGGCAAUAACUAUCAGAAUUUUAAAAGCUUAUGCCCUUUGACCUAGUAAUUUCACUUCUAAGAAUUUCCCCUGCAGAGAUAUGUAUAUCUUGUAUGAAAUGAAGAGGCUACGAAGACAGGCAACGCCGCAGUGUUUAUAAUAGCGAAGACCAGACACAACCCACAUGUCUAAAGGUUCUGAUUUUUAAAACUGUAGUAUAUCUGUACAAUGAGCACUCCACAUCCUUUAAGAAUGAGGAAGGGCUGUGUGAACUGAAAUGGAACUAUCUCUAAGAUUUAUUAAGUUAAAAAAAUUCAAGAGUAGCACAGUGUGUAGGGUAUGCCAUCAUUUGUAUGAUAUAAGGUCGUAUAUCUGCCAUCUCAAAUGAGGAACAGUGGUUGCCUCUGGGAAGGGAAUUGGAUGGCUAGGAAUGGGGUAGGAAAGAGGUUUGCUUUUCAGAACAUUUUAUACUAUUUAAGUUUUGUAACAAGUGCAUCUAUUUUGACUUAAAAGAUAAAAAAUGAAAAGGAAAGGCUCCACUAGUGAUUCUGAUGCUCACAAAGAUUAAGAACCAAUGCGAAUGAGGAACUCAUGACACCGCCCAGGAGACAGUGAACAUAUCUCUUCAAAUAUCAAAAACCUUUCAGCAGAGGGUGAGAACAUGUGCCUGGGGUAAGCAUGGGUGGGCAUGAGCUGGGUACAGAGGUGAUUCCCAGGGACAUACAACUACCUUGCCCUCCUGGGAUCAGGUCUUCCUCCCACCUUAGCCUCCCAUAUUGUUGGGACCACAGGCAUGCACCACCACACCUGGUUAAUUUUUUUUUUUUUUUUUUUUUUGUAGCGACAGAGUCUCGCCAUGUUGCCUAGGCUGGUCUCGAACUCCUGGGCUCAGGCAAUCCUUCUGCCUCGUCCUUCCAAAGUGCUGAGAUUACAGGCAUGAGCCACUGCACCCAGCCUGACAGUAGCUUUUAAUCUCUGGACUCUCAUCACCGUUUGGACUGUGAGCUGUGGUUCUAGCUCUUGGAUCUGAUGGGCAUCUUCCCUCAAAUAUGUCAGUUUCUCUCUCCAGGUCCCUUGCUUUGUCUUCCUUUUUG